AGCUCGAGGAAGGAAUCUGGAGUUAAACCUGCCCAAUGUAGAAAUUAUUAAUGGCCGCGGUACUUUGACCGUGCUAAGGUAGCGUAAUCAAUUGUCUUUUAAUUGGAGUCAGGUAUGAAUGGAGUAACGUGGUUCGGCUGUCUCCUAGUAAAUUAUUUGAAAUUACUAUAGAGAUGAAAAAGUCUUUAGAUAAGAAAAAAGACGAGAAGACCCUUAGAGUUUUUCUAAAAACAAUUUAAUAAUUUUUUUUUGCAAAAGUUUAGUUGGGGCAACUUGAGAAAACAUUUAUUAAUUUCUUUAAAGUACAAAUCGGUUAUUUUAAAUUUGUAUAAAUUACCUUAGGGAUAACAGCAUUAUGUAGAAAAUAAGUUUGUGACCUCGAUGUUGGACUGGGAAACUAUAAGGCUAGCCGUUUUUUAGGAAAGUUCUGUUCGAACUAAAAUUCCC
rnacentral:rRNA from 1 species